rnacentral:rRNA from 1 species
GAAUUUUGGGCAAUGGGCGAAAGCCUGACCCAGCAACGCCGCGUGCAGGAUGAAGGCCCUCGGGUCGUAAACUGCUGUCGGGAGGGAAGAAAAGCAGCGGCGGAAACACUGCCGUUGCCUGACGGUACCUCCAAAGGAAGCGCCGGCUAACUCCGUCCCAGCAGCCGCGGUAAUCCGGAGGGCGCAAGCGUUGUUCGGAAUUACUGGGCGUAAAGCGCGUGUAGGCGGUUUGGUAAGUCGGAUGUGAAAUCCCCGGGCUCAACCCGGGAACUGCAUCCGAAACUGCUGGGCUAGAGUCCCGGAGAGGAAGGCAGAAUUCCCAAUGUAGGGGUGAAAUCCGUAGAUAUUGGGAGGAGUACCAGUGGCGAAGGCGGCCUUCUGGACGGUGACUGACGCUGAGACGCGAAAGCGUGGGGAGCAAACAGG